rnacentral:rRNA from 1 species
UAGGGAAUCUUCGGCAAUGGACGAAAGUCUGACCGAGCAACGCCGCGUGAGUGAAGAAGGUUUUCGGAUCGUAAAACUCUGUUGUUAGAGAAGAACAAGGACGUUAGUAACUGAACGUCCCCUGACGGUAUCUAACCAGAAAGCCACGGCUAACUACGUGCCAGCAGCCGCGGUAAUACGUAGGUGGCAAGCGUUGUCCGGAUUUAUUGGGCGUAAAGCGAGCGCAGGCGGUUUCUUAAGUCUGAUGUGAAAGCCCCCGGCUCAACCGGGGAGGGUCAGUGGAAACUGGGAGACUUGAGUGCAGAAGAGGAGAGUGGAAUUCCAUGUGUAGCGGUGAAAUGCGUAGAUAUAUGGAGGAACACCAGUGGCGAAGGCGGCUCGCUGGUCUGUAACUGACGCUGAGGCUCGAAAGCGUGGGGAGCAAACAGG